rnacentral:rRNA from 1 species
GAUGAACGCUGGCGGCGUGCCUAAUACAUGCAAGUCGAGCGAACGGACGAGAAGCUUGCUUUUCUGAUGUUAGCGGCGGACGGGUGAGUAACACGUGGAUAACCUACCUAUAAGACUGGGAUAACUUCGGGAAACCGGAGCUAAUACCGGAUAAUAUUUUAACCGCAUGGUUCCAAAGUGAAAGACGGUCUUGCUGUCACUUAUAGAUGGAUCCGCGCUGCAUUAGCUAGUUGGUUAGGUAACGGCUUACCAAGGCAACGAUGCAUAGCCGACCUGAGAGGGUGAUCGGCCACACUGGAACUGAGACACGGUCCAGACUCCUACGGGAGGCAGCAGUAGGGAAUCUUCCGCAAUGGGCGAAAGCCUGACGGAGCAACGCCGCGUGAGUGAUGAAGGUCUUCGGAUCGUAAAACUCUGUUAUUAGGGAAGAACAUAUGUGUAAGUAACUGUGCACAUCUUGACGGUACCUAAUCAGAAAGCCACGGCUAACUACGUG